rnacentral:rRNA from 1 species
UACGGAGGAUGCAAGCGUUAUCCGGAUUUAUUGGGUUUAAAGGGUGCGCAGGUUGUUUGAUAAGUCAGUGGUGAAAGUCUGCCGCUUAACGGUAGGAUUGCCAUUGAUACUGUUGGACUUGAAUAUGGAUGAGGUAGGCGGAAUGUGUAGUGUAGCGGUGAAAUGCUUAGAUAUUACACAGAACACCGAUUGCGAAGGCAGCUUACUAAUCCAUGAUUGACGCUGAGGCACGAAAGCGUGGGGAGUCAAACA